ensembl:miRNA Mir3101 microRNA 3101
GUGGGGUAGGUAGCAGGUACCAUUGACUAAAGCUAGUACUAUAGGCUUGCCUCUAGCUUUGGUGGCUGGUCUUUGCUAAGUUCUCUGC